rnacentral:lncRNA from 1 species
CACCAGUCCAAUGAAGUAGACAGUCAAUAAAUGCUUGUUAGCUACUGCUUUGUAUGUGCAGAGAUUUAAUUACCUCUACUCUUAAAAAAUGGUUCAUUUUGGCUUCUGUAACCUGAAUAUUAAUUAGCAUGCCAUUCUCUUUCCUGUACAUCUCCCCAUCUCAGAGCAAUGCCAGCACUGAGAAAGCACAAAGUCCUUUUUCUUAUUUGCUUCCAGUUUUCUAAUUUUACCUUCUCCCUCUGCCUUGCUCCCUGUUUUGUCUCAGCCCCAGUCUCUCAUCUUUCCUUUUGUACCCUGUGUCCUAGGCUCGAUGGCUAUGUUCUCACUCAUCUAUGAGCAGGCUGCAUGGAGACCUAAACAUAGUCCAGACAGACGAACCCUCAGAGUAAAAUAUCAAAUCCAGCUCAUUUGACAAUAAAGUAUUCGAGCGAACAUCAAAGAAAAUUGUACUUUUGCUUACUGCUGGGUUGAAUCUACAAAUUUGACUGGGCUUGCUCUUGUGCCUGUAUUCAUCCUGUAUCAGCCCCAACUAAUGAUCACCAAAGAUCCUUCAUGGGAAUUAUUUGGCGACAAAUGCAAAUCGUGGAAUAACUCUUUUGACAAUGAACCUGUCUCUUAGUAAGAAAUACAAAGCUUUGAAAAGCCUCUUAUGAAUCUCACGUUGUUUCCUGGAACAAGUCUGUUGACAUUUACAUGCAUGAUACAAAAGCUACGAUGAGAAGCCAAAGCGAAGAAGACAGGCUUCAGGCCUAGACUGCCUGGGCCCAAGGCUGAGCUCAGCCACAUCCUCACUGUUGAGACUGGGCAGGGGUCACAAGCAUCACUCAAACCGUCUUCAUUUCUGAAUCUUUCUCGUGGUGCUUAGCAUGGUGUUUUGCAGGCAGUAGAUUCUUAAUAAGUAUUUGUGCAAUUGGAAACUUCAAAUUUCUACCUGUAUAGGGAUGUGGAACCAUAAGGAGGCAUAGCAUGGGAGACACAGGACGUUUAUGAGGCAG